AAAUGAAUUGACGGGGAGCACCACGAACGGGUGGAGCUUGCGGUUUAAUUGGAUUCAACGCCGGAAAUCUUACCGGGACCGACAGCAAUAUGAAGGCCAGGCUGAAGACUUUGCCGGAUUAGCUGAGAGGUGGUGCAUGGCCGUCGUCAGUUCGUACUGUGAAGCAUCCUGUUAAGUCAGGCAACGAGCGAGACCCACGCCCACAGUUGCCAGCGUACUCUCCGGAGUGACGGGUACACUGUGGGACCGCCGCUGCUAAAGCGGAGGAAGGAAUGGGCAACGGUAGGUCAGUAUGCCCCGAAUAUCCCGGGCUACACGCGAGCUACAAUGGUUGGUACAAUGGGUAUCUACCCCGAAAGGGGACGGGAAUCUCCUAAAACCAAUCUUAGUUCGGAUUGAGGGCUGCAACUCGCCCUCAUGAAGCUGGAAUCCGUAGUAAUCGCGUUUCAACAGAACGCGGUGAAUACGUCCCUGCUCCUU
rnacentral:rRNA from 1 species